rnacentral:rRNA from 1 species
GCCAGCAGCCAUAUCACUCUGCAAAUCACAACUGGCAACCCACUGAAGCUAAGCGGGUGUGAGCCUGGUCAGUACCUGGAUGUGAAACCUGCUGGGAAAAACUAAGGUUGCUGCUGAAA